CCUACGGGUGGCAGCAGUGGGGAAUAUUGGACAAUGGGCGAAAGCCUGAUCCAGCCAUGCCGCGUGUGUGAAGAAGGCCUUCGGGUUGUAAAGCACUUUCAGUGGGGAAGAAAGCCUUGGGGCUAAUACCCUCGAGGAAGGACAUCACCCACAGAAGAAGCACCGGCUAACUCCGUGCACAGCAGCCGCGGUAAUACGGAGGGUGCGAGCGUUAAUCGGAAUUACUGGGCGUAAAGCGCGCGUAGGCGGUCUGAUAAGCCGGUUGUGAAAGCCCCGGGCUCAACCUGGGAAGGGCAUCCGGAACUGUCAGGCUAGAGUGCAGGAGAGGAAGGUAGAAUUCCCGGUGUAGCGGUGAAAUGCGUAGAGAUCGGGAGGAAUACCAGUGGCGAAGGCGGUCUUCUGGACUGACACUGACGCUGAGGUGCGAAAGCGUGGGUAGCAAACAGGAUUAGAUACCCGAGUAGUC
rnacentral:rRNA from 1 species